GUUCAAUUUUUCUUCUGCUGCAAACGCUACAAUACCUUUUGCUGCCGAACAUGAUCCAACUUCAUGGUCCUCGAUAACCAACACUACGAUAUCCUGGGUGACGGUGGCGCCGCCAACGGCCAUUAGUGUAACUAGCAGGGACGAUUUUCCACUGGACGCCCUCCUGGUCUUGUCGACCGCGUCAGCUCUGGUUGGGUGGCCAUACGCCGGCCGAGAUGUGUGAGGACACAGGGACCAUCGACCGUGUACCUCCAGGGUCCUCCCAGGGCUGGCAAGAUACAAGUAGCGCUGCUUUACUGAUGGGGGGAUGAGGGCUAAGGACGGUCCAAGGAAGAGUCUUGUGGAGUUCCUGCACAUGCUAACUAUAUUCCUACACUGUACCAAAGCUAUUUUUUCCUUCAGUAUGUUCAAUCUGAAGGGAGUCUAGCAUGUCAAGCUAAACAAGUGACUCAAUAUUUUACAGUUUAGGGAAGACCCUUUUUCCCCACUAAAUUUUCUCCAAUUUGUAAACCUUAAUAAUGCAGUUUGCAAAUACACGUGUCGACUGAAUUUUAACUCCAUAUACCUACUUGAUGUAAGACACUGCUUUCAUUCUUUGUCUUACUUUGAGAAUUCGCCAAGGCAUUCUGUCCUUUAAAAUGGGAACUGACAACCUUUAGAUUAAAAGGAAACAAAAAUGUUACGCUAGAUAUUGUCAAGUCAAUUUUGUGACUUGCUUUGGAAUUGGAAACACUACAAGCCUAGCUCAGGAUAUAUUUUAGGUCUUGUAGUGUAUCCUGUAUCACCAUGAUGUAUGAUCAAGAAAAUUUCGAGACGUACCACGUUAUGCCUUAACCUCCUCGUCACCAUUAGCGCUGAAAGAGAGGUUCCUUAAUGUCUCAUUUCGGCGCACUGUUCCACGUUCAUUCUAUGUUGUGUGCUUCGUCGUUUAACCGAUUUCACUAAGAACAACCUAUUUAAACUUUUUCUCUCAGUUUGCUAGCAGAGUUACGCAGUGUGGUGGGUUUAUCUCGUACUUUAAUUCACUGUGAUACGGAAAUUAUUAUUUUACUUCUCAGUCGUAUUUCUGACCGCUCGUUUUAUUAUGUAUCAAUAUUACGGAAAUGGUUUCACACAUUGUGUUAUUCUGCUUAUGUGUGCUUGUAUUUUUGGGUAUGUAUGUUCCUUAAAUGAAUAUUAGGGUUUCAUGGUAUCAGAAAGCAAAGCAUAAAUUACCAAGGAUGAGGUGUAUCUCAAUCAGUGACACUCCUUGGUUUCAGAUACGAGUUGUAUUUAUGUAAAUCAGUGUAAAGGUGACCCUUUACAUCCUCUUCAAAGUGCCAUUUCUUAAUUAACUUGAAAUAUGAAGAUACACUUAACCUUGUUUUAUUAGCAGCUAUGUAUAUGCGCUGGAUGGCCUGAUUCAUUUAUGCACCGAAGUAAAUUUAAGGCAAAUUUGAUGUGUUGAAUCAUAUUUGACCCACCUUGCCCUGGUUGGUUUGCAUUCUAUUCAGAUAUGUUAUUGCCAAAAUGAACACAAAAUAAAUUCUUACAACAUAUGUAGCUGAAAUAUUACAUCAUACGAGGCAGCCUGUUGUGUAUAGGCUGCCAUUGAUUACUUGUAAUUUCCCUGAAAAAUGUAUCUAUGUGUAUGAAUGUAUACAUGUGUGUCUAUAAAUAUGUAUAUAUAUAUUCAUACAUAUAUAUAUAUAUAUAUACAUAUACAUAUACAUAUACAUAUACAUAUAUUUAUUUAUCUAUGAGCGAGAAUAAGUACCUUUAUUUUUAAGUAAUGAUGCGGCCGUCUAUGUUAAAACGCUACUAAUUCUUCCAAUGAUGAUACUACUACUACUACUACUACUACUACUACUACUACUACUACUACUACUACUACUACUACUACUACUACUACUACUACUACUACUACUACUAGCAGCAACAUGGAAAAGUAAAUACAAUAUUAGUCUUACCAGUUUUCUUGGUAAAAUAGGUUAGUAAACGCCUCUUUCGCACGACAUUCCCUGUACACUUGGUUCUUCGCACCCCGUGGUUUACAGCCUCAAAACUGCCCAGACCCGGGAUCGAACCGGGGACCUUUAGAUCUUCAGUCUAACGCUCUCCCAACUGAGCUAUCUAGACUUCUUAUCUAUCAUUUGUCUCCAUCAGAUCUGAAGAUAAUAUGUAUAUGGUUAUCAAGAAACAAACGACACAGACAAUUAUGGUUACUUUUCCGCAAACUUAAUAUGCAAUUCCUUACUUAGCCAUGCGUGUGGAUAUACUUAAUGACUGGCACAUAGCAAUCUUCACAUGUGGAUUUUGAUGUUGAUUAAGAAGUACUUAUGUAGGGAUUUUUGUUCAAUGUAAUAACUCUCAUGGUCCAUCCCGUUAACUACUGAUAACUUAUAUGAGGAUUUUUCUCUUUAUUUGAUAGUUGGAAAGGGCGUUGUGUUCAUUAUCUGAUGAUCACCCGUUCCGAAAAUCUUAACGAGGUCCUGUUAAGAUCUUCCUCUUGUUACAUGGUUGGAUCAAAUUCACAUACAAAUGAGUUUUUUUCAUAAUACAAAUAUAAAUGGAAAUAAUUUUAUUCCUGAAUCAAAAAAUGCAAAUACGAAGAUUUCAGAUAUUAUGUAAAAAUAUAAACGAGCAUAAUAUUUUUCACACCAAUUUAUAUUCUUAGUAUUAAAAUUGCAUAUCAUUAGGAAGGGUGACGCGAGUUCCAUCAACCUUGUAACGUAAUAUUAGCGUCAAAAAAUGGAAACAGUGAUUAUUCUGAAAUGCAUGCAAAAUACAAACCUGAGCCUUG
rnacentral:tRNA from 1 species